AGUCGAUUUAAAACAACUGCAGUGACUCCUGAAGCAAAAUUAUACAUUGACUAUCUCUUGCCUUUCAGAUCAUCAAAUCCCCAAAGACUCGCUAUAAAUCGCUCCGCUUCCUUCCCAUAAUGACUUGGGCAGAAACAUUCUGAAUUAAAUGACGCUGUGACGUGAUUUAUGUACAUCUGGACUUUCAACCCAAUGACUUCCCAGCACUCCAUCAAUCUUUAUAAAGUCCUGGCAAUGUACUUGAAAAGAAUUGCAAUGCCAAUGGAGGCAAGUCUGGACUCUUUAAAGUCUAGAGAUCUCAUAGCACUUAUCUGCUGACAGCAACAUGAAGCCAGCCACAGUAAAAUUCUCAGGUGGGAGCUAAUAUCUGGGGAGGUUCCUGGGAGAGCAGAAUAACUCAAUGUAUUGGUCAUGUGCAAAGACGUAUCUGUGGUA
rnacentral:lncRNA from 1 species